rnacentral:rRNA from 1 species
UACGGGGGGGCAAGGCGUUGUUCGGAAUUACUGGGCGUAAAGGGUUGUAGGUGGCCGGCUAAGUCAGACGUGAAAUCCCUCAGCUUAAACUGGGGAACUGCGUCUGAAACUGAUCGGCUCGAGUGCAGGAGAGGAACGCGGAAUUCCAGGUGUAGCGGUGAAUGCGUAGAUAUCUGGAGGAACACCGGUGGCGAAGGCGGCGUCCUGGACCAACACUGACACUGAGGAGCGAAAGCCAGGG